rnacentral:rRNA from 1 species
UACGAAGGGGCUAGCGUUGCUCGGAAUCACUGGGCGUAAAGGGUGCGUAGGCGGGUCUUUAAGUCAGGGGUGAAAUCCUGGAGCUCAACUCCAGAACUGCCUUUGAUACUGAAGAUCUUGAGUUCGGGAGAGGUGAGUGGAACUGCGAGUGUAGAGGUGAAAUUCGUAGAUAUUCGCAAGAACACCAGUGGCGAAGGCGCUCACUGGCCCGAUACUGACGCUGAGGCA